rnacentral:misc_RNA from 1 species
UAGUUGAGCUACUUCUGAGCGGG